rnacentral:lncRNA from 10 species
UAAAUAUUCGUGAAAAUAAGAAAAUUCAGGAAGGAAACAAAGCUUAAGGCAGUGAUUGAUAGGUUAUUUCUUGGACACAGCUGAACGUAUACUGUGCGCCUGCAACUUUCCGGUGGUUUCGGACCGGACUUCAGUGAAGCCAGUGAAGUCGGUCGACUUGCAGAACUUCCUUUCAGAGGGGCGUACACAGCACCGCGGCCGUGUGCCUGUGAUCUCCUUCUGAGUUUGAAAAAGAAGAUCCUAGACACCGAGCCAAAUAUGUUUGCAUAAACCGGGAGACUUGUGGCUCUAUUUUGUAACAGCUUGGCGCAGGGCAGCUGGUUUGGAGAUGUCUCUGUUCUUCCCUUGGUGGGGGUGCCGGAAAAAAUGUGCUGCCUGGGCGAUCGAGGUUGGGGCAAAAGCGUUGCAAAGGAAAAGGUGGGAGGACUCUACUUUCACAUUUCCCAAAAGAGUUUUACCAUAAGACUAUUUCUGGAUUGUUCUAACGUGAGGAUAUUGGGAGCAUUUUGAAAAUACUGGAGGAAAAGCUGUCACUGGGCGAUUUAAAUCCGGUAAGUUGGCCAAGGCAGAGCAGCUGCUGGGGUCAGCGACAGCUGACCCUUGCAGCUGAGUAUCUUGCCCUCUUAAUCUUGGAGAUCAGCCCAAGGCCCAUGUGUUACAGGAAAGGGGUCCCGAUCUAGACCCCAAGAGAGGGUUCUUCGAUCUCACGCAAGAAACAAUUCAGAGUAAGUCCACAGUGCAAAGUAAAAGCAAGUUUAUUAAGAAAGUAAAGUGGUGGCUGGGCACAGUGGCUCACGCGUAAUCCCAGCACUUUGGGAGGCUGAGACGGACAGAUCACCUGAUGUCAGGAGUUCAAGACCAGCUGGCCAACAUGGCAAAACCCCGUCUCUACUAGAAAUACAAAUAUUGGCCGGGCGUGGUGGCGCAAGCCUGUUGUCUCAGCUACUCACGGGGCUGAGGCAGGAGAAUCGCUUGAACCCGGGAGGCAGAGGCUACAGUGAGCCGAGAUCGCCACUGCACUCCAGCAGGGCAUUCCUGAAAAUAAGAGGAGGGACAUAUCCAACUAAGUUCCUGUAAACAUCUGUCCAGGGCCUGAGCUCAGAAGGCAGAAUCCGUCGUGGAGCGUGUCCAACUCCUACCCCAAGAGCAGCCUCCAUGUUUACCCACGGACUGGGCUCACACACAGGCAGGCAGCUCCGAGCUCUGAGCACCUCAGCAUCCUUGGACUCUGAGCUAGCGUGGUCACAUGUCGGGGGGACAGAGUUCCCCAGCCCUUACCCUGCAGUCUUGCUUCUGAUAGGGAAACCUUGAGCUCGUAGUGACUGUGGGGCUGGCUCUCCAGGACAAGCCCCUCCAGUGGAGCCAGGAACCAGGAUGGAAGGUUGGGUUUGGGGGUGGACUGAUGGCCUGGAGUUCACUGCCACCUAUUUUCUUUUCCUCUUUUUCCAUCUCACCCAGAGCUGUGGGAAGAGGCCUUGACAACAGGUGAGAUUUGGGGCACCUGACUGUGACUUCAACCCAGCAGGUGGGGUUGGCCCAAAGCAGUUCCCCAGCUUGUCCUCUCAGGUCCUCUGGACACCCUUCCCCACCACACAUAACCCUGGACCUUCACAGCUCCCACACCACCAUCCACACCUAGGAAAGGACAUCGGACUGGAGGUCAGGGGCCUAGGAUUCAAGUCCCAGCUCUGCCGACAGCUACCAGUGUAUUCUUGGGCAAGUCACUGAACCUCUGUGGGUCCUGAUUCCCUUACCUGUAAGAGAGUGAUAAUCAUAAGGCCCUCUGCAUUGCUCUAAGGAUCAAGAUAAUGCUUGUGAAAGUCUUCACUGUACUCUAAAGUGUGAUUAAUAUAUAUUCUUUAUCCUGGAAUCUCCUAUCUCCUUUGAGUCCUGUUAAAUAAACCAUGAUGUGAAUGGUUAGUAAUGAAGUGUUUGCCCCCUUUCUAGACAGUUAUUUGUACUUGUAACCAUAACUUUCAAUGCCUUUAUUCAGCGAUAAGAGUACGGAAUUAAUUCCAAGUUCAGACCGGGUGUAGCAGCUCACAUCUGUAAUCCCAGCACUUUGUGAGGUCAAGAUGGGAAGAUCGCUCAAGUUUAGGAGUUUGAGACCAGCCUGAGCAACAUAGGAAGACACUGUCUCUACAAGCAAAC